UACGAAGGGGGGCGAGCGUUGUUCGGAAUUACUGGGCGUAAAGGGCGCGUAGGCGGCAAUUCAAGUCAGUUGUGAAAUCUCCGAGCUUAACUCGGAACGGUCAACUGAUACUGUUUUGCUAGAGUACAGAAAGGGCAAUCGGAAUUCUUGGUGUAGCGGUGAAAUGCGUAGAUAUCAAGAGGAACACCUGAGGCGAAGGCGGGUUGCUAGGCUGAUACUGACGCUGAAGCGCGAAAGCUAGGGUAGCAAACGGG
rnacentral:rRNA from 1 species